rnacentral:SRP_RNA from 1 species
ACUGGUAGUACUCCGAAGAGUACUCCUGCAUCUACUAGCUCAGCUCCUAAAUGCUCUAAUGCACCUUCCUCUCAUUGGUGUCGUCUCUGUUGGCGUUCUUGGAGAAGAAGUUGAACUGGGAGUGUA